UAGCGUAUAUUAAAGUUGUUGCAGUUAAAAAGCUCGUAGUUGAAUUUCGGGGUCAGUAGGUCGGUCGUGCCACUGGUAUGAACUGGUUUUACUGAUUCCUCCCUCUUGAAGAACUGUAAUGCCAUUAAUUUGGUGUUGCAGGGAAUCAGGACUGUUACUUUGAAAAAAUUAGAGUGUUUAAAGCAGGCC
rnacentral:rRNA from 1 species